rnacentral:rRNA from 1 species
CCUACGGGUGGCAGCAGUGGGGAAUAUUGCGCAAUGGGCGAAAGCCUGACGCAGCGACGCCGCGUGAGGGAUGAAGGUCUUCGGAUCGUUAACCUCUGUCAGCAGGGAAGAACGGUCACUGUGCUAAUCAGCAGUGAAUUGACGGUACCUGCAAAGGACGCACAGGCUAACUCCGUGCCAGCAGCCGCGGUAAUACGGAGGGUGCGAGCGUUAAUCGGAAUUACUGGGCGUAAAGCGCUCGUAGGUGGUAUGUCAAGUCAAGGGUGAAAUCCCCGGGCUCAACGUGGGAACUGCCUUUGAAACUGGCAAACUGGAGUGUGUGAGAGGAAAGUGGAAUUCCAGGUGUAGGAGUGAAAUCCGUAGAUAUCUGGAGGAACAUCAGUGGCGAAGGCGACUAUCUGGCACAUAACUGACGCUGAGGAGCGAAAGCGUGGGUAGCAAACAGGAUUAGAUACCCGUGUAGUC